AAAUAUUCACCACCCUGAAACUGCACUUGAUUCCUUCACACGGGAAGCUUCUGGAAGCUGUAAGGGUGACAGGUAUCAAAAAAGAAGGAAGACUGCCCCCAGGCCGGGAGGGUCUGUUGGUGUGCUGCUCUUGUUCCAUGAAAUCCAGUGCAUUCCAUAGAAAUUCUAGAAGUCUUCACAUGGCUAGCUCCUCCCUGCUGCUUCUGAAUUGGUUUCCCAGACAAACUAUUUGGGACAUAUUGUCACUGAAACAUUAUUCACUGUUUAUCUGAAGUUCAAAUUCGACUUUCUAUCCUCUGGCCACUCUAAUUCCUAGUGACUUAGAUUCUGAGCACAAAAUGAACUGGAACAAACAAACGAACAAAAUGACUUUCAUUCUACAUGGAAGAAAUGUAUACUCAACAAACUUAAUUCUUUGUGCAUCGACACUGCCGUGGAUUCAUACAUCCCCCUGGAAGAUACCAGGGACUUACUCUGGAAACGUACACAGGGCGCCUCAGGAAGUUUGUGGGAAAAUAGAAGUAAAAGGGAAAACGACACGCCGUUGUCAUUUCGUCGUAAAGCACAAAACACGUUCCUGUGUUGAAGUCUGCAUCUACUUUCAUCUGUUUCAGUCAGCUAAGCGGUGGAGGAGCUAA
rnacentral:lncRNA from 1 species